UCUGUGUGUCAUAUUGCCUAC
ensembl:piRNA 21ur-5186 ncRNA